rnacentral:lncRNA from 1 species
UUAUUUAUAGAGGAUUUUCCUCAACAACCAAGUGAAAGCUUGUAAGUAUUUUAAUAUAUAUAUAUAUCGAAUCUCUUAAGUUUGUACAAAAUAUAUUUUAAUUAUUAUUUAAUAUUUUUGUAAGGACUGUGGUGUGUAUAUGAUUACAUAUGCAGAGUGCCUUUCUUAUGGUCAAGACAUUUCUUUGAUUGAGUUCAAUCUCAAAAUACUUCGUACAAGAUAUGCUUCACUAAUGUGGGACUACGGUAUAAGAAAAUAAGAAGCUAAAGCUCAAAGUGACGAUAAAGCACCAUUGGGGCCUGUUAGAAAAAGCAAGAUAAUAAGUCUCACAG